rnacentral:misc_RNA from 1 species
CAUUACCGAGUUUCUGGCCCGUACGGGUAAAUCUCCCACCCUUGUGUUCUUUUUACCUUGUUGCUUUGGCGGGCCCCCGGGCUCCGGUCAGGCUACCGGUUUCGGUGGGAAACCCCCCCCCCAGAAGCCCCAAUCCUCCUGAUUAUCGUCGUCUUCUGACUACUAUGAUAAUAAUUAAAACUUUCAACAACCUAUCUCUUGUUUCUGGCAUCAAUAAAGAACCCAACUAAAUGCAAUAAUUAAUGUUAAUUAAAUAAUUGAAUCAACCAUCCAUUCUUUGAACAUUCAUUCCCCCCCUUGUCAUUCCGAGGGGCCUGCCCGAUCGACCGUCCUUACCACCCGCAAUGAUUGCUUGUGGUUGCGUCCCCCUGCUCACCCAGCGGUACUUAAAGUGGGUGGGGGUGCCGUCCGUGACUGAACGUAAUAUACCUCCUCAAUAUAGGGACCCGGUGCACGCUGUCCACCACCCCCCUUCAUAAUAGUUAAAACUUUUAACAACGGAUUUUUUGGUUUUGGCAUUGAUGAAGAAAGCAGGGAAAUGCGAUAAAUAAUGUGAAUUGCAGAAUUCAGUGAAUUAUUGAAUUUUUGAACGCACCAUGCGCCCCUUGGUAUUUCGAGGGGCCAGCCUGUUUGAGGGUCCUUACAACCCUCAAGCCAUGGUUGGUUUUGGGGUUCGGUGGUCACCCAGCGGGCCUUAAAAUCCGGGGGGGGGCCGUUGGGCCCUGAGGGUUGUAAACUUCCUUGGNAUCGGGGCCCGG